rnacentral:lncRNA from 1 species
CUGGUUUCUUGUCCGGCUUUGGCUAUACAUUGUAUCCUUUGUUUGUUUAUAGUUUUUUUAUCUUUUUUUUUUAUAAUCUUUGGACUUUCAAUCAUAUAGGUUGGCCUCGAGUAUCACUGCAUAGUCGGUAAUGGUCGAAAUGCGCAAUCAGAUGAACAAACAGCGGUAUCAUGUAUGUUAUUAACACUACUGAGUCGAUACCUAAGCUGGUGAACAGAUAGUCCCGAGAGUAUCAUUAGCCCAGUGGCCA